rnacentral:lncRNA from 1 species
AGAAACAGCACUAACAAAGUUUAGACCCAUAAAUUUUGAAGGUCUAGCUACCAUAUUAUUACCCACAAGGGUAAAGGAACAGUACCACUGCUGGAUAAUUGGAAAGUCCCUGUGUGUCAACCUCUGUGCUUCGUGGCAAGGUAGACUAGCAAACAUGCCCAACCUUUACUCACAUUCGAGAAAACACUCCCAAUAAGAUUGCUUGCUCCAAAAUCGAAGAGGCACCGUCCUCCGAAUCUCGAGAGCCAGACUCCCAACAUGACUACUUUCUUAAAAAUCGAAGAGAGGGUAAAGGAACAGUACCAUUGCUGGAUAAUUGGAAAGUCCCUGUGUGUCAACCUCUGUGCUUCGUGGCAAGGUAGACUAGCAAACAUGCCCAACCUUUACUCACAUUCGAGAAAACACUCCCAACAAGAUUGCUUGCUCCAAAAUCGAAGAGGCACCGCCCUCCGAAUCUCGAGAGCCAGACUCCCCAACAUGAUUACUUUCUCAAAAAUCGAAGAGACACUGCUCCCCGAAUCUCGAGAGCCAGACCCCCAGCAUGAUUGCUUUCUCAA